UAGGGAAUCUUCCGCAAUGGGCGAAAGCCUGACGGAGCAACGCCGCGUGAGUGAUGAAGGUCUUCGGAUCGUAAAACUCUGUUAUUAGGGAAGAACAAAUGUGUAAGUAACUAUGCACGUCUUGGCGGUACCUAAUCAGAAAGCCACGGCUAACUACGUGCCAGCAGCCGCGGUAAUACGUAGGUGGCAAGCGUUAUCCGGAAUUAUUGGGCGUAAAGCGCGCGUAGGCGGUUUUUUAAGUCUGAUGUGAAAGCCCACGGCUCAACCGUGGAGGGUCAUUGGAAACUGGAAAACUUGAGUGCAGAAGAGGAAAGUGGAAUUCCAUGUGUAGCGGUGAAAUGCGCAGAGAUAUGGAGGAACACCAGUGGCGAAGGCGACUUUCUGGUCUGUAACUGGCGCUGAUGUGCGAAAGCGUGGGGAUCAAACAGG
rnacentral:rRNA from 1 species